UAAUCUUAGUGUUAAAUUUACUUGCGUGAAAAGCGGUUGACCUAAUAACACGGCUUAAGGACCCGUAGGAUGGGACGGCAUGCUUAGUCCGAUUUGUUCUCAAUGCAUUGAAAUUUAACACUUCGAUUUUUU
rnacentral:sRNA from 1 species